UGAAAGUGCUUCCCUGUUUUGUUUGUUUUGGGUGUUUUUAUUAUUUUUAUAUAUAUUUAGAAAUAGUAUAUACAUGACCUGCCAACUGUUUCUCUUUCAAAAACUCCGCAAUUUUGGCUAAGGGUUUUUGUUCUUUUUGCUUGGGCAAAACGACAACUUGGGUUGAAUUUAUCUCUCGAUUUCGUCCCUGUUGUCGUUCCGUUUUUUUAGUUCUUGAUUCCGCGUGUUACAAGCUUUCUCGGCUGACUUCACUGCCAACUGUGUGUCUCUCGACUUGUUCAGAGGUUAUUGUAGCUCAAUAAAACCGGUAUGGUCUUUUUUUAUUUUUCAGGUGGAUUAAUUUAAAUAAGGGUUCUGCGUUUUAUUGGAUUUUGAGAAUUUCAUUGCGUGGAAUUAAGGUUUUUAUGAUUCAGUGUUUGGUUUCAAUUCCAAUUGAUGUGGGACAAAAAGGGUUAUUUUGUGUUGGUUGAAUUUGAAGCUUGGGGUUAAGAUAAAAGGGGUUUUUUUUUUUUUUUGGAAGAAAAAUAGGGAUAAAAGGGUUUUUUGCAAUUGGGGUUUUGCCUCUGAACAUAUAUGCAAGGAGAUUGAUUGGGAAUUUGGUUUGAUUUGAGUGAAUUUUUGUGGGUAUUGAGUCGGUUGAUGACUGGGUUGUGGAUUUUGAGUUUUGGGGUUUAAGGUGUGUGAGUGUGAAUUGGGAAAUUACAAUGGAUGAAGGUCAGGGCGGUUCGAAUUCGUUGCCUCCGUUCCUUACAAAGACGUAUGAGAUGGUAGAUGAUCCCUCCACGGAUUCAGUUGUGUCGUGGAGCGCAAAUAACAAAAGCUUUAUUGUGUGGAAUCCACCGGAGUUCGCGAGGGAUUUGUUGCCAAGGUUCUUUAAGCACAAUAACUUCUCAAGCUUCAUUAGACAGCUCAAUACAUAUGGUUUUAGGAAAAUUGAUCCGGAACAAUGGGAAUUUGCGAAUGAGGAAUUUAUAAGAGGCCAGCCACACCUGUUAAAAAACAUACACAGACGAAAACCUGUUCAUAGCCAUUCAUUACAGAAUUUACAGGGACAAGGGAGUGCUUCUCCUAUGUCUGAAUCAGAAAGACAGAGUUUGAAGGAGGAGAUUGAGGGACUUAAACAUGAGAGAGAACGGCUUCUUUUGGAGUUACAGAGGCAUGAAGAGGAGAGGCAAGGAUUCGAGAUGCAAGUCCAGUUAUACAAGGAGCGUUUGCAGCAUGUGGAACGCCAGCAACAAAAGAUGAUGUCUUCUGUAGCUCAAGUCUUGCGGAAACCAGGGCUUCCUUUGAAUCUUGUGACACAAUUGGAAAAUCAUGAUAGAAAGAGAAGGUUGCCAAGAAUCGGUUACAUCUAUGAUGAAGCCAGCAUUGAAGAUACUCAGAUGGGGACUUCCCAAACUGUACCUGGAGAAAGUGGGGUGAGUGCUUGUGCUUUGACAUCGAAUGUGGAGCCAUUUGAGCACGUGCGGUCAUCAUUGUUUGUUUGGGAGAAUCUUCUACGUGAUGUUAGUGAAACUGUCAUGAAAUUUAAUUCGAACCCGGAUUUAGAUGAAUCUACUAGUUGUGAUGAGAGCCCCACCAUAUCUUGUGUACAGCUGAAUGUUGAUGUCAGGCCUAAAUCCCCUGGAAUUGACAUGAACUCUGAGCCUGCAACUGCUGCUGUGCCGGAGCCCGUUGAGCCCGAUGCCUCAAAAGAACAGGGACUUGUUACUACUACUGUGCCAACUGGGGUCAAUGAUGUAUUCUGGGAACAGUUCUUGACUGAGAAUCCUGGUGCAGCUGACACACAGGAGGUUCAGUCAGAAAGAAAGGAAUCAAUGGCAGAAAGAAUGAAGCAGGACCUGGUGAUGAUGACAAAUUAUAGCAGGGUAUCAGGGAUGUAAAUAACCUUGCCAAGCAGAUGGGGGCAUCUUACUCCUACAGAGAGAACUUGGUAUCAGUUUAUUUUUUUCCCGGCUUUUGAUGCCCCAGUGGCUCACUUGUAAUAAUUUAGCUUUUGGAAUAAAGCCAUGUUGGCUAAUGCUGUGGACACAAAAGCACAUAAAAUAUAAGAUGGCAUGGAAUAAUGAGCUUGAAAAAGGGUAUCUGACAUAGUUUUCAGCACCAAAAAUAAGAAUCUGAUAUUAUGUGUGGCUAAAGAUACUGAUGUAGAGAAAAGUGCUGAUGUUCUUCUUGUUGUAUAUUCUCGAAUAUCAUGUCCUGGAUAUGAAGAGUCAAGAUUUGUGAAGUACCUUAAAUCCAUUUGAUGUCAUUGCUAUCAUGUUGCUAGCCUUAGUCAGGCCUUAGUUAGGCUUGGGAAACUGACCACUAUUUCUAGCAUACAGUAUUGAAUCAUCUUUCUGUUAGAUGUGAUGGCAUUACUUGAUCUUCUUUACCACGAGAACCAAGGUAAGAAUUCUCAUUCCCCAACUUCUUGUAAUAAUUGAAUUAUCAAAAAUAAAAUAAAAUAUGUGAUAUCCACAAACUUCUCUUCUCUGAGUUUUUGUGUGAAUUAUGGCAUUGUGCAAAACAUGAGUUGAUUCAACUGAGGUAAUGAAAAAAAUGUAGAGGAAGACCAAAAAUAAUAUUAGUAAAAGUAAUUAAAAAAGGACAUGUUAAUUAAGGAUGUAACAUAAACUAUGACUUCAAAUAGAAUAAAAUGGAGGAAAAUAAUGCAUGUGGCUGACUAUGACUAAGCGGUUGAGGAUAUGUAGCCAACCCCAAAAAAUUUAGGACUAAGACUUUGUUGUUGUAAACUAUUGUGCAAAGAACAUACUAUGAUCAUGUGAGAGUGAGGUGGGCUCCGAGAGUCUCUAGUAUUUAUAUUUUGUUAAAUCUUUGUCAUUUAACAUGUUUGAUCUUGAUUUUUAAUAUUGGCUAACUCCUCAGGUAAAUGACAAUGUUUUUAAUUUGGAAAUAAAAUGGGGGCUUCCCAAUUUAAUAUGUGAUUGCCAAGUGUAUGCAAGUGCCUUGAACAUAAAUUUUGGUCUUACAUCUUGUAAACACUUAAUACAAUUACUUAUAUAUAUAUAUAUAUUAAAUGACAAUGUUUUUAAUUUGUAAAUAAAAUGGGGGCUCCCCAAUUUAAUAUGUGAUUGCCAAGUGUAUGCAUGUGCCUUGAACAUAAGUUUUGGUCUUACAUCUUUUAAACACUUAAUACAAUUACUUUAUAUAUAUAUAUAAAUAUAUAUAUAUAUAUAUAAUGCCCUCAGAAUGAGUGUGUGUUGUGGGGUGUGUGCUGAGUCCCACAUCGGGCAUAUAAUGGGAUGAUUUAGGUUUUAUUAACAACUACAAGCAACCUCACUUGUGAUUACACUGAUUCUUUUGAAGUAUAGUGCAAAUGUAGCUAGUGCUUUUCCUUGGGUUGUUAUAUAUAUGUGUGUGUGUGCGCGCGCGUGCAUGCUCACACUUUCUUAACUAUCAUUGUCAUCUUUUGUUAUUUAGCCAAUUAUCCUUCCAUGCAAGGAGUCUCAAUUCUGGCCUUUCCAUUACUGAAGCCUAAAAAGCAAUUUUGGCCAAUUCUCUUUGACUGUGAUAGUUUCCAUAUGGGUAUAAUUACAAUGAAGCUAAUGCUUUUAAUAUGUUUAUUUUGUUUUCAUUUAUUUUCAACCAAUGACAGAGAGUUUCUUAUCAGUGUAAUGUAUUGCAAUCCUGAUGUAGUCCAGCAUGCUCAGAUUCAUAUAAUUGACCAAUGAUAUUAGAUCCGGCCAAUCCACAUGCAAAUGUGAACUAGUUUCUUCUAAAUUUUAUUGACAUGUGACAAUCUUUUUAUGCUACUAAUCUACCUAGAUAUUAUGCAUGGUAAUGAAUAGCAUAAAAUAUCAUACAAAUUUUAAAUAAGAUUUCUUUACCGCACUUUCUUAUAUUAUCUAAUAAUAUCAUUACUUGAACUUCCUUGAUUAGUUCUAUGAAAGAAAUAACUAUUGGGUACGGAAUCAGUAUAUGCUAUGAGUGUGUUUGGACUUUACAGAAAUGGUCUUGCAGUUGUUUUGAGUGAAGGAUGGUGAUGCUUCUACCCAGGUUCCAAACUAGAUCUAAAAUUUUGCGAUUUGUAUAAUCAGUGAUGGUACAUGAUAUACAUCUGAAGGAUUCUUCUGGCAUAGGGGUCUUGACUCCUUAGAAGAUUAUGUACUGAAGUUACUGAACCACAGCUAAGUUAGGUGCAAGAUGGCUAUUUGGAAGUAACCUCUGUUAUACUUUUGAGAUUACUAAGGUGAAGUUCUGCUUUAGUUUUGAAAUUAUUUUUAGAGAAUAUCCACUUUGUGAUUCAAUCAGAAGUUUGAUUGAUGAUAAACACAAGAUGCAUUGAUGUUAUUAGAUGUGUGUGUUUACUUGCCUUAUACCUACAAAUAUUUGGAAUAGAAAGAAAGAGAUUACUUGAUCCAUCUCCUAGAGGGCCACUAACCAGUGCUGGUCCCUCUUAAAUAAGGUCCUGGAAGGGGUGACAGAGAUAUGGUUCUACCUUUCAGCAUUUUUGUAUAAAGUUCCCACUUUCAAGACUAAAACCUACUUGCUUGUGCUUGACAGCCUGAGAUUUUUACUACCAUACCAGAUUAUGGCCUUGACUUGAUACAUCUAAUGCUUGUUUAAAAUGAUGUUGGGAGUAGUCAAGCGGCUUUAAGCCUGAUGAGUAUCUUUUUUAUUUAUCUUUCACGUGGGUAUGAAUGGAAAAGGCAAUUGGUCUGUCUGUAAUGGUAUAUGCUUGGAUUAUUUAGCUCUCAUCAGCUUGUAUGCCUCAUUAAUUUUCAUUUUGAUUGGAAGCGCCCCUCCUUGAUAGGAGGUGCUAAGAGACUGUUGUAGAGUGCAUGUAUUACCAACUUUUGAGUUGCAAUAGACAUAUAUAAUUCAUGU